CCGGAACUCCUCUCCCCCGCCAGGCUCCCCGCUUGGGAGGCCUGAGAGUUUAACACGAUGAACUUGUAUUUUUUCCAGUUGCAGGCCUUGGGGUCUGGGCUACCUUGACUGCAGCUGCGAGAUUCAGUAGGCGAUAAGAACCGCCUUGUGGGCGCGGAGGGGUUGCCCGCCAACCAGCAGCGUGACGUCAGUGAGGAUCCCGCGCAGGCGCAGCUCAUUCAGGUUGCCGAGCACGUCGGAGGAGUGGCGCGUGAACUCGCGGACGUAGCCCAGCGCCCCCUCCGGGGUGGCGGUGGAGCCCAUCGCGACGCAGGCCUGCGGGUGCAGAGCAAGGAGCUCAGGGACCCGGGCCGACCUCAGACGCCUGCCCUCCUCGCUUCGCCCCUUCUGCUGACGCGCAGCUAGAGCCGAGCCCCUAGGCCGGCUCGCGCAGCCUGGCUCGAGCCGUCUAGUUGUUUCUGGCCUCAGCUCACCGGCGCUCGCUGCACCCCCCCCAACCCCCCCGAGACUCCACAGUGCCUGCAGCGAGCUUGAGGUUCCCGACCGCGCCGUCGAUGGCCCGCGUGGGGAAUCCGGCCGCAGCGCCCUUGGUCCCCACUGCUCGUGCCCUUCCAGCACCCCGCUCCCCUCUGUUUCGCCGCGCGCCUGGCUCUCGGGUGUCCCACCUGCCUGGAGACCCUAGACGGCCCGCGGUCCACACCUCUCCAAAUCCCAGUCGAAGCUCCCUUUCCGAAGCACUGAAUUCCCACUACUAUCUGGUCCCCGACCCCGAGCGCAGCCCGAGUACUGGGCCUCAGUCUUCCUACCAUCCAGAGCCCUUCGCGGGGACCCCGGAGUCUGGGUCCCUCAGUCUGUCGUUCUUACCCCCGUCCUGCAGGGGCUGCGGCUUCUCUUCUCAGGGGGGCGGGGUCCCUCUCCCCU